rnacentral:rRNA from 1 species
GAUGAACGCUGGCGGCGUGCUUAACACAUGCAAGUCGAACGGUGAAGGCGGAGCUUGCUCUGCUGGAUCAGUGGCGAACGGGUGAGUAACACGUGAGCAAUCUGCCCCUGACUCUGGGAUAAGCGCUGGAAACGGCGUCUAAUACUGGAUACGAGCUGCGAAGGCAUCUUCAGCAGCUGGAAAGAAUUUCGGUCAGGGAUGAGCUCGCGACCUAUCAGCUUGUUGGUGAGGUAAUGGCUCACCAAGGCGUCGACGGGUAGCCGGCCUGAGAGGGUGACCGGCCACACUGGGACUGAGACACGGCCCAGACUCCUACGGGAGGCAGCAGUGGGGAAUAUUGCACAAUGGGCGAAAGCCUGAUGCAGCAACGCCGCGUGAGGGACGACGGCCUUCGGGUUGUAAACCUCUUUUAGCAGGGAAGAAGCGAAAGUGACGGUACCUGCAGAAAAAGCACCGGCUAACUACGUG